rnacentral:rRNA from 1 species
CGACCUCAGUUCAGGUGAGAUUACCGGCUGAAUUUAA